CUCCGCCCCGCUCGCGGCUGCGGGCCCGGUAGGCGUGGCCGGCAGCCAGCGCUCCUCCUCCGCCGCGUGUGUCGCGCGGCGGGGUUAGGGGGAGCCUGGAGCCCGGGAGCGCGAGCCGCGGAGGAGGACGGCGGCGACAAGAUGGCGUCGCUCCCGGGACGGGACGGCGGCUUCACGGCCUGGUGUCGGGACCCGGCUGAGGAGACUCCCCGAGAGGGGCAAGCCUCCCCGGCGUGCGCCGCCCUCCGGAGACGAGCGGACGUGCGCUGCCUCCAGGGGCUCGGGCUGCGAGGGUCCGGCUAAACCCAGGCGCCGACGACAAGCCGCUGCUGGAGCGGGGUGCACUGGACACAGGAGUGACCCAUCCAUCGCACAGAACACCAAGUUCAUGCAGACUCAAAGCCCCCCAUCAGAGUCUUCGAGAAUAGGCAAACUGAAUUCUAUAGUUUCUUUUAAUUUUUUUUUCUUUUAAAGACUAUUUUUAUUCUUUGACAGUUUCAUGCGUGUAUACAAUGAACUGUGAUCAUAACACCCCAUUCUUCCACCAAUCUCAAACACAGGCUCCUGUGAUGUAGACAGAUGAAAUGCGCUUAGGGCCUUGAUGGAUUUUCCUUAAUUUUUUUAAACCCGAUACGUUAUGCCACUUAUGUAUAAAAUUAGUGAUGAGGCGGACUAGAAAUGUUCUCUUCACAGCUGCGAAUUCAUUUUCGCUUUGAGCUGUUUUAAAAAUACAUUUUAUGGGAAAGUAAGAUUCUAACUUUUGGGUGUGUCUUAAUUAGGCUUUCUCUUGCUGUGGUGGAACACCAGGACCAAAAGCAGCUUGGGUUGGAAAGUAUUUCUUUCACUUACACUUGAGCUUUCCUUACUGAAGGGAAAUCGAAGCAAGACCUCAAACAAAGCAGGCACCUAAGGCAGGAAGGAGCUAAUGCAGUGGCUGCAAACGGUGACUGCUCAUUGGCUUGCUCGGCCAGCUUGCUUUUAUAACCCAACCACCAGGCCAGGAAUGACUCCACCCACAAAUGGCUGGGCCCUCCCACGUUAAUCAUUAAGAAAAUGCCUUACAGACUUGUGUACAGCCUGAUCUUGAAGAGGCAUUUUCUCAGUUGAAAUCCCUUCUCUUAGAUGACUCUGGCUUGUGUCGAGUUGACAUAAAACUAGCCAGUACAGCACAGAUAAAGAGAAGAGUCCUAACCAGGUGGUGUGGUGCCCGCCUGUGAUCCCAGCAUUCUGAGUUCAAGGACAGCUGGGUCUAUCUACAGAGUAGGUUCCAAGAUAGGGCUAGACAGAGAAACCCUAUCUUGAAAGACCAAAAAAGACGAUGAAGAAAGAAAAGAGCAAAUUCCUGGAAUGGUUACUAUGUGAAGAGCUACUUCCCAUGUCAGCCAUAAGUCCCUGCAUGUCCUUGAGGCUGGAAUUGCCCCUUGCUUGCCCAUCUGUACUAAUUGAGGUUGUUUGGUGUUCCUUAUGUCCUAUGUGCCGAAUGCUGGCACCUAAAACCUCUUCUCUAGCACCCCUCUUUCCUGAAGCUAGAGAUUGGGGACCAUGCCUUGUGGACUUCCACCCAGGACUCCUAAACUCUGUUUUAGGCUAGGAUAGAAGAGGAGAAAAGAGAAGUGUCUGACUUUGCACUGGAACCCAGGAUCCUAGUAAGAAAAUUUUUCUGAAUCAACAAGUCUUAUCUUUUUCCCCUCAAAUAGUGAAUGGUACUAAGAGUGUGUUGCUGUCCUUUAAGAACCCAUGGUUCUGUUUUCCUCCGAUUCCCACAUUAAAGUACAAAGCC
ensembl:lincRNA Fam120aos family with sequence similarity 120A, opposite strand